rnacentral:rRNA from 1 species
AACCGACCUGGCUCACACCGGUYUAAACUCAGAUCAUGUAAAAUUUUAAAGGUCGAACAGACCUCCCUUAUCAGCUUCUACACCAAUAAUUAAUUUUAAUCCAACAUCGAGGUCGCAAUCUAUUUUUUCGAUAAGAACUCUAAAAAAAAUUACGCUGUUAUCCCUAAGGUAAUUUUUUCUUCUAACCUAAACUUUAGGAUCAUACAUAUACAAAUAAAUAUAAAAAUAAAAAAAAAGUUAAUUAAAUUUUCCCAUCACCCCAACAAAAUAAAUGCUAAAAUAAAUGAUUAAUAAAACCUAUAAACUAAAUAUUAAAGCAAAUAUUAAACUCUAUAGGGUCUUCUUGUCUUCAACACAAAUUUAAGCUUUUUGACUUAAAAAUAAAAUUUUAAUAAAUUUUUACAGAGACAGCCACUCUUUCAUCAAACCUUUCAUACAAGCUUUCAAUUAAAAAACUAGUGACUAUGCUACCUUAGCACGGUCAGUAUACCGCGGCCAUUCAACCACUCAGUGGGCAGGUCAUA